rnacentral:rRNA from 1 species
AGCGAACGCUGGCGGCAGGCUUAACACAUGCAAGUCGAACGGGCGUAGCAAUACGUCAGUGGCAGACGGGUGAGUAACGCGUGGGAACGUACCUUUUGGUUCGGAACAACCCAGGGAAACUUGGGCUAAUACCGGGAUAAGCCCUUACGGGGAAAGAUUUAUCGCCGAAAGAUCGGCCCGCGUCUGAUUAGCUAGUUGGUGUGGUAACGGCGCACCAAGGCGACGAUCAGUAGCUGGUCUGAGAGGAUGAUCAGCCACAUUGGGACUGAGACACGGCCCAAACU